rnacentral:lncRNA from 1 species
GGCAACAUUGGACCGACGAGGUUCUCGCAAAUUCUGAUUAUGUGGAUAUACUGAAGAGGGCCGACAUUUUGCGUUGCAUUCAAUUAUGCAGGGAUCUUCGUAUUCGACAAGACCAAGAUGCUCUUACCGUCUUGAUUUUACGCUGGUGUUCUUCCACAUGUACAUUUGUCACUGCUUGGGGGGAGUUUACCCCAACUCUAGAGGACGUUUAUGCCAUUUACCAGUAAUCUUUUUUUUUUUAUUUCGUUCAAUUUUGUUUUUUAGAGUAUGAACUCAUUCUAGAUUAUAUCUUGUAGCCUUCCUGCUGUUGCAUCGGCUUCCUGUAGCAUAUCUAGCUUGUCUCCUAGAGAUGUUGAGUGCAUUUCUUAUUUAACAGAAGCUUCCAAGCGAGUUCCCAAUUAUAUCUCGCGAUUCCAAGGUGACAUGCUCCUCCCAAACUUUGAGACUUCUAACCGGCAAAAGAAUUCCUGGUUAUCUUGGGUGCGCUACUUCUUCAGGGAUUACCGACCCGGACACGGAAAUAGUUCUAACUAUAACAAGUCUGUCCUCACUUUCCAUGAAGAGCCUUACCCUUUUCCCU